UACGGGGGGGGGCAAGCGUUGUUCGGAAUUACUGGGCGUAAAGGGCUCGUAGGCGGCCAACUAAGUCAGACGUGAAAUCCCUCGGCUUAACCGGGGAACUGCGUCUGAUACUGGAUGGCUUGAGUUUGGGAGAGGGAUGCGGAAUUCCCAGUGUAGAGGUGAAAUUCGUAGAUAUUGGGAAGAACACCAGUGGCGAAGGCGGCUCACUGGCCCGUAACUGACGCUGAGGUGCGAAAGCGUGGGGAGCAAACAGGAGUUAGAAACC
rnacentral:rRNA from 1 species